GGGGGGGAGGAGUUGAGAGUCAUUAACCUCUUGGCUACCUAACAAAGAGUCUCAAGUUUGAAUCUCAAUGUAAAAGUUAAGUUCCCCUUUUCAGACCUUGCGAUCUAAAGGGCAGGUGAUGUUUAGGUCAUCUGUUUCUUUGGCCAACAGUUAACGAGUAGGCUGUCAUGUGGCCAGCAUGAGAGUUUGAAUAGGAACCAACACAAACAUUCUCAAAGACAUUUAAAAAAAAAAAAAAGGUCUGACCGUAGAAAGAAAGUGAAAUAAAAACAAAAUGCAUAUGCACCGUUCAGUAAGUAAAAGAAAAACAUUGCACCUCAUCUUAGGGUAAGCUUAUUGAGCAUUAUUAAUAAACAUGUUUAAUAAGAGAUGGAUAUGUCAUGUGUCAAGAUGAAUGCCCAUAGUCAAGAUAUUUUAUCACUAGUUAGUUUGGAAUAAUUUAAACCUAGAAUCAUGCACUAGAAAUAAUUGUACAAUAAAAGUAAAUAUUUAAAUGUACGAGUCGUUAUUUUGUUGAGCUGUAAACUACAGUAAAGUAUGGUACAUUCUUUUAGCAACAAUGAUCUGAACAAAAAUGUGGUAAUAUUGUGUCCUCCUGGCUUCCAAGAAGUAGUUUGAGGAGCAAGGAAACUUUGGCUUGAAGUGACAAGACAUGAUGGUAGACUAUGUAAUGUAUGCAUUUUCUCUUGGCACUAAAUGAAUACUCGCAUACAGCUGUCGGUGCGUAGGUUAUGGCAUUCUAGCACCAAUGUGUAUUAAGUGCACAAUUUUUGAAAGCACUUUCUUUUUGUUGCCUUGCUUGUAAGCUGAUGGAUUGUUUUUGUUAUGCUGGUGAGAUUCUUCUGUGUUCCCCUGUUUAGGGGAGUUAGUAUGGGAUUGGAAGUCUACGCUGGUGACUAGAGCCAGCAGUGUGUUGUGUUGUGGAACAUUAAUGUGUACGUUGUGGGACAGCAAGGUGUAGAAUUAUUGUUUAAUUAUUAGAUUCACAAUAUUAGAAUGUUCCAAAUUCAAUGUCAUUACUCCAUCAGUUUGUCAUCAUAAUUUAUAUUCAUAUCAUUAAACAUUAACAGUG